CCUACGGGAGGCAGCAGUGGGGAAUUUUGGACAAUGGGCGCAAGCCUGAUCCAGCAAUGCCGCGUGAGUGAAGAAGGCCUUCGGGUUGUAAAGCUCUUUUGUCAGGGAAGAAACGGUGGAGGUUAAUACCUUCUGCUAAUGACGGUACCUGAAGAAUAAGCACCGGCUAACUACGUGCCAGCAGCCGCGGUAAUACGUAGGGUGCAAGCGUUAAUCGGAAUUACUGGGCGUAAAGCGUGCGCAGGCGGUUGUGCAAGACAGAUGUGAAAUCCCCGGGCUCAACCUGGGAAUUGCAUUUGUGACUGCACGGCUAGAGUGUGUCAGAGGGGGGUAGAAUUCCACGUGUAGCAGUGAAAUGCGUAGAGAUGUGGAGGAAUACCGAUGGCGAAGGCAGCCCCCUGGGAUAACACUGACGCUCAUGCACGAAAGCGUGGGGAGCAAACAGGAUUAGAUACCCUGGUAGUCCACGCCCUAAACGAUGUCUACUAGUUGUCGGGUCUUAAUUGACUUGGUAACGCAGCUAACGCGUGAAGUAGACCGCCUGGGGAGUACGGUUGCAAGAUUAAAACGUCAAAGGAUUGACGGCUUGAGAGNGCGAGACGACGACGAGGAGGAGG
rnacentral:rRNA from 1 species